rnacentral:rRNA from 1 species
CCUACGGGUGGCUGCAGUGGGGAAUAUUGGACAAUGGGGGCAACCCUGAUCCAGCCAUGCCGCGUGUGUGAAGAAGGCCCUCGGGUUGUAAAGCACUUUCAGUGAGGAAGAACGCCUGGUGGUUAAUACCCAUCAGGAAAGACAUCACUCACAGAAGAAGCACCGGCUAACUCCGUGCCAGCAGCCGCGGUAAUACGGAGGGUGCGAGCGUUAAUCGGAAUUACUGGGCGUAAAGCGCGCGUAGGUGGCUUGAUAAGCCGGUUGUGAAAGCCCCGGGCUCAACCUGGGAACGGCAUCCGGAACUGUCAAGCUAGAGUGCAGGAGAGGAAGGUAGAAUUCCCGGUGUAGCGGUGAAAAGCGUAGAGAUCGGGAGGAAUACCAGUGGCGAAGGCGGCCUUCUGGACUGACACUGACACUGAGGUGCGAAAGCGUGGGUAGCAAACAGGAUUAGAUACCCGAGUAGUC